rnacentral:rRNA from 1 species
AGAGUUUUAUCCUGGCUCAGGACGAACGCUGGCGGCGUGCUUAACACAUGCAAGUCUAGGCAGAACGUGCUUUCGGGCAUUAGUAAACUGGCGAACGGGUGAGUAACGUGUAGGUAAUUUGCCUUCGAGAGGGGUAUAGCCACUGGAAACGGUGAUUAAUACCGCAUAAAGUCACAUUACACAAGUAUUGUGAUGAAAGGUGGGGAUCUUCGGACCCAUCGCUUGAAGAUAAGCCUGCAUCUGAUUAGCUAGUUGGUGAGGUAACUGCUCACCAAGGCAACGAUCAGUAGCUGUUCUAAGAGGAAGAUCAGCCACAUUGGGACUGAGAUACGGCCCAGACUCCUACGGGAGGCAGCAGUGAGGAAUUUUGCGCAAUGGGGGCAACCCUGACGCAGCAACGCCGCGUGACCGAUUGAAGCUUUUAGGAGUGUAAAGGUCUGUCGUGAAGGAAGAAAUAGUCUGAGAAUAAUAAGUUUGGACUUUGACGGUACUUCACAAGCAAGCUCCGGCUAACUUCGUGCCAGCAGCCGCGGUAAUACGAGGGGAGCAAGCGUUGUCCGAAAUAACUGGGCGUAAAGGGUACGUAGGCCUUUUUGCAAGUUUUCAGUGAAAAUCAUAGGCUCAACUUAUGAACUGCUGGAAAAACUGCAAGGAUUGAAUUCGGAAGGGGAAAGCGGAAUUCCUGGUGUAGCGGUGAAAUGCGUAGAUAUCAGGAGGAACACCAGUGGCGAAGGCGGCUUUCUGGUCCGAAAUUGACGCUGAGGUACUAAAGCGUGGGUAGUAAACAGGAUUAGAUACCCUGGUAGUCCACGCCCUAAACGAUGGAUACUUGGUGUCGGGAUGUUCGAUCGUCUCGGUGCCGUAGCUAACGUGUUAAGUAUCCCGCCUGGGGACUACGGUCGCAAGACUGAAACUCAAAGGAAUUGACGGGGGCCCGCACCAGCGGUGGAACAUGUGGUUUAAUUCGAUGCAACGCGAAGAACCUUACCUGGGCUUGACAUAUGUAUGAAGUAUGUAAGAAAUUAUGUAUUGUUGCUGCUUGCAGUAAACAUAUAUACAGGUGAUGCAUGGCUGUCGUCAGCUCGUGUCGUGAGGUGUAGGGUUAAGUCCCUUAACGAGCGCAACCCUUACUUUUAGUUGCCAUCAGGUAAUGCUGGGGACUCUAGAAGGACUGCCGAGGUUAACUCGGAGGAAGGUGGGGAUGACGUCAAGUCAGUAUGUCCCUUAUGCCCAGGGCUACACACGUGUUACAAUGGCCGGUACAGAGUGCAGCGAAGCCGCGAGGUAGUGCAAAUCACUUAAAGCCGGUCCCAGUUCGGAUUGGAGUCUGCAAUCCGACUCCAUGAAGUUGGAAUCGCCAGUAAUCGCAGAACAGCAUGCUGCGGUGAAUACGUUCCCGGGCCUUGUACACACCGCCCGUCACGCCAUGGAAGUUGGGGGUACCCGAAGUUGCUGUCUAUACGGUGGAGGUAACUAAGGUAAAACCGAUGACUGGGGCGAAGUCGUAACAAGGUA